UAUAUUGAAUCUUUAACAAUUACUUUUAUAUUAAACACGUUGGAUUUCCAACUAUGACGAUAAACGAAUUUCGUAAUAACCAUUGCGGACGUGGGGGCAGUACCCACCACCUCCACCAUUUACAACUUAUGGGGGUGAAUUAGAUUCGACGGAUGACUAAAGGCUAUUCUUUCGUUCGGAAUUGUUCCUCCGAAAAGGGCUAUUUUAUAAUUGCUAACGAAAGUUACGCACUUGCUGCUUAAUUAACUUUUGUUAAUUUAAGUAGUCGGGGUUUGGGGCACCUGGCAACAGAACGCCCCUUCA
rnacentral:tmRNA from 1 species